AUGGCUAAAACUUUCAAGUUAUUUUAUGAUAUGGCUCUCUUCUUUUUCCUCUUUAUUCUUAUGAUUAUCGGUGAAGCAAAUACCAUGUCUGACCAAUGCUGAUUGUCCAAUUCAUCAGGUUUGUCGUCGAAAUUGGUGUCAAUUUUUUUAGUCGGUGCAGCAGUAAUGCAUUUCAAAGAGCAUUGGAUUAUACUAUGCAAGUGACUUGAACUUUGUUCAUGUCUCAGAUAUAUUGAGAAUAAUAGUCUUACUAAAUAAUUUUAAUUACCUAGUUCAAUUUAUGAAAGGCAGGUUAUGUAAUAUUUCUUAAGUAGUCAUUUUCUC